UACAUUAGACCAAAUUAAGGGCAUCACUCACCAUACGCCCAUGCCCGUGGCUGACGUGCCCGAUGCCUUCUAGUUUCAGUCUUUUUGGUGGCUAGGAGGAAUAACGGGUUGGUCCUGCACACGGAUGAACCUGACGAGGAGAGGAGAGCUCAGCACGCAGGCUGUCAUGUAAGCCAUAUUCUCUGGGGCCACCUCUCGGUGCACGCCGCUUCCUGCCGCAGGUAAAAGCUUCAGUGUGAGUGCUGCUGUACUCUGUGUAAGUGUCAGGCUGUGCUGUCCUCUCCCUCCCACAGCGAGAGCAGCUCUGCUGGUUACCAGCUCCACCGUUCACUAGAGGACACAUUAUCCCAGCGCUGACAUGGAGAAGCGUUGCUCAGAGUGCCCAGAGCCCAGGCUAGCCCAGAGCCUGUGUACAUUCUGCAACAAGUGGCUGUGCUACCAGUGCACAGACAUGCACCAGCACCAGAGAGCCACCCCUCAGUGCUCAGACCUGCACCAACACCAGAAGCCCACUACCCAAUG